rnacentral:rRNA from 1 species
UACGAAGGGAGCUAGCGUUGCUCGGAAUGACUGGGCGUAAAGGGCGCGUAGGCGGUUUGGACAGUCAGAUGUGAAAUUCCUGGGCUCAACCUGGGGGCUGCAUUUGAUACGUUCGGACUAGAGUGGGGAAGAGGGUCGUGGAAUUCCCAGUGUAGAGGUGAAAUUCGUAGAUAUUCGCAAGAACACCAGUGGCGAAGGCGGCUCACUGGCCCGGUACUGACGCUGAGGUGCGAAAGCGUGGGGAGCAAACAGG